rnacentral:rRNA from 1 species
GACGAACGCUGGCGGCGUGCUUAACACAUGCAAGUCGAACGAUGAUCUGGCGGCUUGCUGCUGGGGAUUAGUGGCGAACGGGUGAGUAACACGUGAGUAACCUGCCCUGGACUCUGGGAUAACCCCGAGAAAUCGGAGCUAAUACCGGAUAGGACCCUGUACCGCAUGGCGUGGGGUGGAAAGUUUUUUCGGUCGGGGAUGGACUCGCGGCCUAUCAGCUUGUUGGUGAGGGAAUGGCUCACCAAGGCGUGGACGGGUAGCCGGCCUGAGAGGGUGACCGGCCACACUGGGACUGAGACACGGCACAGACUCCUACGGGAGGCAGCAGUGGGGAAGAUUGCACAAUGGGCGCAAGCCUGAUGCAGCAACGCCGCGUGCGGGAUGACGGCCUUCGGGUUGUAAACCGCUUUUAGUAAGGAAGAAGGGGAGCUUGCUCCUUGACGGUACUUGCAGAAAAAGGACCGGCUAACUACGUGCCAGCAGCCGCCGUAACAC